AACCCAUGAUGGGGGCAUUGCUGCUACAAUCCCUUUAAACCUAUCCCAUGCUUCGAACAGUGAUUCUCUAUCUAUUUAUGCAAAGCUCGUGAUUUGAUUUCUUAGAU